rnacentral:rRNA from 1 species
GACGAACGCUGGCGGCGUGCUUAACACAUGCAAGUCGAACGGAAAGGCCCUGCUUAUGUGGGGUGCUCGAGUGGCGAACGGGUGAGUAACACGUGAGUAACCUGCCCUUGACUUUGGGAUAACUUCAGGAAACUGGGGCUAAUACCGGAUAGGAGCUCCUGCUGCAUGGUGGGGGUUGGAAAGUUUCGGCGGUUGGGGGUGGACUCGCGGCGUAUCCGCUUGUUGGGGGGGUAGUGGCUUACCAAGGCUUUGCAGGGUGGCCGGGCUGAGCGGGUGACCGGCCCCGUUGGGCCUGGGCUACGGCCCGGCCUCCUCCGGGAGGCGGCAGUGGGGAAUAUUGCACAAUGGGCGGAAGCCUGAUGCAGCAACGCCGCGUGCGGGAUGACGGCCUUCGGUUUGUAAUCCGCUUUCGCCUGUGACGAAGCGUGAGUGACGGUAAUGGGUAAAGAAGCACCGGCUAACUACGUG